rnacentral:rRNA from 1 species
UACGUAGGGACCAAGCGUUGUUCGGAUUUACUGGGCGUAAAGGGCGCGUAGGCGGCAACUCAAGUCAGCUGUGAAAUCUCCGGGCUUAACUCGGAACGGUCAGCUGAUACUGUGCGACUAGAGUGCAGAAGGGGCAACUGGAAUUCUCGGUGUAGCGGUGAAAUGCGUAGAUAUCGAGAGGAACACCUGCGGCGAAGGCGGGUUGCUGGGCUGACACUGACGCUGAUGCGCGAAAGCCAGGGGAGCGAACGGG